GGCAGGGUAGCAAAGUGGUCUAAUGCAGCGGCCUUAAGAAGCUGAGUUCUUGACUCGCAGAGAUCCGCCACUCGCGGGUUCGAACCCCGCCCUUGCCA